rnacentral:rRNA from 1 species
UACAGAGGUCUCAAGCGUUGUUCGGAUUCAUUGGGCGUAAAGGGUGUGUAGGCGGCGCGACAAGUCAGUGGUGAAAGCCCGAGGCUCAACUUCGGGUCGGCCACUGAUACUGUCGGGCUCGAGCACUGUAGAGGCAGGUGGAAUUCCGGGUGUAGCGGUGGAAUGCGUAGAGAUCCGGAAGAACACCGGUGGCGAAGGCGGCCUGCUGGGCAGUAGCUGACGCUGAGGCGCGACAGCGUGGGGAGCAAACAGG